rnacentral:lncRNA from 1 species
GUGAAUUCUAGGUGUGGAAAGAAAGGCUUUGUCCAGGGAGAGAAUAUAAACAAAUCUGCUAUCACAGAAAAGGCCCAGAGUCAUUAUGUACUUUUAUAGUGGGCAGUGUGUAAGAAGGUCAAAAAAAGGACACAACAUAUGAAGUGAAAGAAAUGUCACAUUUUCUUGAAUUGUCAUUUUCAAGAUGAUGAUUAUUAUUUUCAUAAUUGCAAUCAAGUACCAUCUGUCUGAUGAUCCCUACACUUUUUAUUGUGGGUGGUCAGUCGUAAUGAUAGCUAUCUAUAAAUAUUAUUAAUUUGAUCAUUAUUACAAUAAUAAGCACUAAGCCACACAUUGAAGAGUUUCUUUCCUCAGUUAUGUUGCUAAGCAACAGAAGUUUAUGGCUAGGAAAGGCUGUGUGAUAUAAUGAAAAGAGCACCCAAUGGAGUUAAGAAGAUAAGGAUCCCUGUUCUAACAAUGCUGCCAAGAGGUUCUAGGGCACUGGAAAAAUCACUUGCAAAGCACCCUGGACCUCAUUUCUUAAAGGAAACUAUAAAUGAAUAGAAAUUGUCUACCCAAAAUAUGUAGUCUACUGCCAGGGUCUUACAAGAAUUCCUGUUUGUUGGAAUAUGUGAAAUAUGAAGAAAGCCUUUGCCAAACACAUCACUCAGAAGUGGGGCCAGGCUUGGAAAAAAAUGCAGAAACAGUUCCUUGAUAGAUGACAUGAGUUAAAGAAAGCCAGCAGAAAACACAAAAACCAGAAUGGAUAUGUAUUGCUCACUCUUUAGGACUUUUAUGAUACCUGAAAUUGACAAUGAUGACUCUUCUGGAUCUGGAGGACCUAGAAGUUUUCUGGCUCCCUCUUUUUAAUGCUACUGUGACUUUGGAGUCUAUACCAUAAACAAGAACAUUCAUUUAGAACUACUAAUUGG